CGCACACCAGAAAGUCGCGCUUGGAGGUUGGCAGGCACGAUACAGAGCCAUCGAUGUUUGCCCUGCUUCCCUCAGAUCUGCGGCAUUCUACAAACGAAUAAGAAGAAGAUAAUAUUUUGAGGCGCUUGCAGCGUGUGAGUGUGUAGUUGCUUCGCUCAUGUGUGAAGGGGAAACGCGCAUCACUUCGCCUUCCCUCGUUCGGUAGCAAUGCCAUCAAGCGUCGCCUACGUCUUGGGGACGGAAAGCUGUGGAAAGACAGACCUCGUCCACCAGCUGGAGUAUCUCACUCAGGGGCUUGUGCGCACGGUGCCGACUGCCUGUACGCCGACGACGGGGCAGGAAGUGACGGAGCUCAGUAUCCGCUCCCCCGCUGGCAAAGGGAAGGUCACGGUCGAGGUGCGGGAGCUGGGAGGAUCUCUGGUGAACACCUGGGAGAGCUUUAUUGAGUCUCGAAAGGCCAGGGACGGCGGCAGCGGUGACACAUCGUUUCUUCUGAUCUACGUCGUCGAUGGAGUGGCUCCUCACCAGCUGCCGUUGGCUUCCACCAUGUUUCGUUAUCUCACGCAGGGCCGCCAUGCACCCUGCGCAGGAUGGCCGACGCUCAUCGCCGUGCAGAAAUGCGCCAGCGUAAACGCCGUCACGGCAGAGGAAGUGCGGAGCUUCUUCCUAGACGAGGUGGAAGCACCGGCAAAUGUCGACGUUGUUGAGGUAGACUCGUGGAAUGGUAUCGGAGCAGGGGACGUGCUCAGAGGGAUCGAGGCAGUUUUCGGUGGCCUUCAGUAGCGAUGGUAUCUUGGCCCCUUUGCAUAUCGUGUAUAUGGGCGGCUCAUGUUGCAUGCGCGCGAGUGUGCGUGUGUGUGCGGUGGGUGGAAGGAUGUCACCUGCCAUUGCUUCGUACCCCUCAGCCUCCUCACAGUCUUGUACAACAGAACUCCCUCGCUCUAUUU
rnacentral:misc_RNA from 1 species